UACGUAGGUGGCAAGCGUUGUCCGGAUUUACUGGGCGUAAAGAGCGCGCAGGCGGUCGUUCAAGUCGCGUGUGAAAGCCCCCGGCUCAACUGGGGAGGGUCACGCGAUACUGAUCGACUCGAAGGCAGGAGAGGGUAGUGGAAUUCCCGGUGUAGUGGUGAAAUGCGUAGAUAUCGGGAGGAACACCAGUGGCGAAGGCAGCUCACUGGGACGGUACUGACGCUGAGACGCGAAAGCGUGGGGAGCAAACAGG
rnacentral:rRNA from 1 species